CAUACCUAUUCGAAGGGAUAGGGUCGGUUCGGCCGGGUUUCACACAGGUGUUGCAUGGCUGUCGUCAGCUCGUGUCGUGAGAUGUUGGGUUAAGUCCCGCAACGAGCGCAACCCUCAUCCUUAGUUACCAUCAGGUAAUGCUGGGGACUUUGAGGAAACUGCCAGUGAUAAACUGGAGGAAGGUGGGGAUGAUGUCAAGUCAUCACGGCCCUUAUGGAGUGGGCUACACACGUGCUACAAUAGUGGCUACAAUGGGCUGCAAAGUCGCGAGGCUAAGCCAAUCCCUUAAAAGCCAUCUCAGUUCGGAUUGUACUCUGCAACUCGAGUGCAUGAAGUUGGAAUCGCUAGUAAUCGUGGAUCAGCACGCCACGGUGAAUACGUUCUCGGGUCUUGUACACACUGCCCGUCACGCCAUGGGAAUUGGUUUCACUCGAAGCU
rnacentral:rRNA from 1 species